GUGUGUGUGUGUGUGUGUGUGUGUGUGUGUGUGUGUGGUAUAUUUUUGACAAAGGCCUUGUUGGCCAGUAGAUUAUUUGUGACAGUUUUUCCGUUGUGCCUAUCUGCAGCUCACCACCUCUGCUAUAUGGCUGUAAAUUGAAAGUAAUAGCAUAUGCAGAAGAGCAUGGAAACAGCAGCUGAGUGACAUUUUGGCCCUCCAUCUACAGGUAAAAAACCAUUCGCAAAUGGCAGGCUAGUAAAGAAGAACUGAAAAAAAAAGAGAAAGACUAAAUGUGCAAAUAGAGGAUAGAAUGGAAACUAGCCAAAACCAGAAGGUGACAAUUUUCAGGGAUUUUAAAGGUUUAUAAUCAGUCGCGGGAAGAAAGUAGAGGUGGCGGACGAAUGGCACCGACAAGUACCUGUCGCACAAUCCAUAGAUGUUUUAGUGAGUGUGUAAGGAAGAACCACGGAGUUUAUAUGCAGCUUUGUGCUUUUUGUGUCAUUGACUAUUGUUAUUAAAACGAGUACAGUUGAAAAAGAACUCUUAAGAACUCUUGACGUAAGCUCGCUAUUAGCAAGACUUAUUUUUUGAUUCAUGUUAAGAAAAGUUAUGGUAUCUAAGCCAACUUUCUUUUAAUUGUAACUCAAUUUGUUUCUGACGUUCGGCUAUAUGAGAGACUUACAGGAAGUUACAUAUUUAUGUGGAAAGUGGGAGUUUUAUUGUGU